rnacentral:rRNA from 1 species
UCGAGAAUCUUCGGCAAUGGGUGCAAGCCUGACCGAGCGACGCCGCGUGCGAGAUGAAGGCCUUCGGGUUGUAAAUCGCUGUCAGAGAGGAGGAAAUGCCGGUGGGUUCUCCCACCGGUUUGACCUAUCCUCAGAGGAAGGACGGGCUAAGUUCGUGCCAGCAGCCGCGGUAAGACGAACCGUCCAAACGUUAUUCGGAAUCACUGGGCUUAAAGGGCGCGUAGGCGGUCCGGGAAGUUGGGUGUGAAAGCCCUCGGCUCAACCGAGGAAUUGCGCCCAAAACUGCCGGGCUUGAGGGAGACAUAGGUGAGCGGAACUUAGGGUGGAGCGGUGAAAUGCGUUGAGAUCCUAAGGAACACCAGUAGCGAAAGCGGCUCACUGGGUCUCUUCUGACGCUGAAGCACGAAAGCUAGGGGAGCGAAGAG